AACUGAAGAAUAUAUCUCUAGUCAACGGCUGACCAUCGAAAGACCUAGCCGCUUGAGUCUGGAAUCGGCAAGAAACAUGAAGUGCGUAUUUCUAGUCUGAAAUGUGGAAACUAAAACAAUAAUACAUCAUAUCGUAUCAUCUUACAUCAUACAUCAUACAUCAUACAUCAUACAUUACAUCAUACAUCAUCAUUCAUGGCAUCAAAGUUCGGAACUAAAGUUUGGAUGUUCGAAUGUUCAGAAGGUGACGUCACCCAAAUUUUUUUUUCACUUGACGUCAUCGAUCUGAAAUCUGCUAGCCGAACUCCUCAGUCUGGAAACAACCGCGCAGCUGAGCGGACGUAGGAGAAUCGUGAUCCGCAGAUUUCGAGUAUCGGGUUCUCUACUUCCUGGAUCCUGCCCUCCGGGUCCGCUACCUGGUGGAACUCGACUCCCCGGACAAGCGCCCCGUAGUUUCUGCGUUCAAAGUCCACUACCUGGUGAAACUCGACUUUCAGGACAAGCGCUCCGUGGUUCCGGUUAUUCGAGGUAUAACCCGAGGUCGUUAGAGGUCGUCGGAGGUGGUUGGCGGUGGUUGAACUUGGUCGAAGGUGGUUAGGGCUGGUUGCGGGUGAUCGAGGUGGACGAGGAGGAGGACAAGAAAGUCGAGGAGAACAACGUGGACUCGGAGGACGAGGAUUUGUGCUCGGUAUACCCGUGGUGGUUAUCGGUGGUUGUUGGAGGUGAUUGGCGGUGGUUGAAGGUGUUCGGAGUCGGACGAGGAGGAGGUCGAGGAAGACAAGGAGAUGAAGGUGGACGAGGAUUUGUGCUCGGUAUAACCCGAGGUGGUUGGCGGUGGUUGGAGGUGGUCGGAGGUGGACCAGG